rnacentral:rRNA from 1 species
UUCCGGUUGAUCCUGCCGGACCUUACUGCUAUCGGGGUGGGACUAAGACAUGCGAGUCGAGCGUCUCUAGCUAUGUUGAGACGCGGCAGACGGCUCAGUAACACGUGGCUAACCUACCCUCAGGACGAGGAUAAACCCGGGAAACUGGGGCUAAUACUCGAUAGGUGAGAAUGUCUGGAAUGAUUUCUCAUUCAAAGGGCUUUAGAAACAUGCUUCUAAAGUCGCCUGGGGAUGGGGCCGCGUCCGAUCAGGUUGUUGGUGAGGUAACGGCUCACCAAGCCUAUAACCGGUACGGGCCGUGAGAGCGGUAGCCCGGAGAUGGGUACUGAGACAAGGACCCAGGCCCUACGGGGCGCAGCAGUCGCGAAAACUCCGCAAUGCACGAAAGUGUGACGGGGCUACCCCGAGUGCCAUCCGCUGAGGAUGGCUUUUCUUUGGUGUAACUAGCCGGGGGAAUAAGGAGAGGGCAAGACUGGUGUCAGCCGCCGCGGUAAUACCAGCUCUCCGAGUGGUAGGGAUGAUUAUUGGGCUUAAAGCGUCCGUAGCCGGCUUAGCAAGUCUCCUGUUAAAUUCAGCGACCUAAUCGUUGAGCCGCGGGAGAUACUACUAGGCUAGGAGGCGGGAGAGGUCGACGGUACUUCUGGGGUAGGGGUGAAAUCCUAUAAUCCCGGGAGGACCACCAGUGGCGAAGGCUGUUGACUAGAACGCGCUCGACGGUGAGGGACGAAAGCUGGGGGAGCGAACCGGAUUAGAUACCCGGGUAGUCCCAGCCGUAAACGAUGCGGGCUAGGUGUUGGGGUGGCUACGUGCCACUUCAGUGCCGCAGGAAAGCCAUUAAGCCCGCCGCCUGGGGAGUACGGCCGCAAGGCUGAAACUUUAAAGGAAUUGGCGGGGGGAGCACCACAAGGCGUGAAGCUUGCGUCAGUGGAUCACGCGG